UCAAUCAAUACAAACAGCGCGUGCGAUAUUGCACCACCAACAAUACAUAAAGCAUUUCUCUAAACCUAAUCCAAAACCGAUUCAAAGUACAAAAUUCAGGUACAGAAGAAAAAAAAAUCUAUUCAACUUGAGUCUAAGUUUUAAUAUAUCCAUACACAAAUCUGAAACCCAACCGAAAUAUAUGCACACAUACAAAUAUAUAUAUGUAGUAAAAUUUUAUCAUUUAUAUGUGGUAUCAAAGCUGCGGAG
rnacentral:lncRNA from 1 species